CCUACGGGAGGCAGCAGUGGGGAAUUUUGGACAAUGGGCGAAAGCCUGAUCCAGCAAUGCCGCGUGCAGGAAGAAGGCCUUCGGGUUGUAAACUGCUUUUGUACGGAACGAAACGGUCUGCUUUAAUACAGUGGGCUAAUGACGGUACCGUAAGAAUAAGCACCGGCUAACUACGUGCCAGCAGCCGCGGUAAUACGUAGGGUGCGAGCGUUAAUCGGAAUUACUGGGCGUAAAGCGUGCGCAGGCGGUUAUAUAAGACAGUUGUGAAAUCCCCGGGCUCAACCUGGGAAUUGCAUCUGUGACUGUAUAGCUAGAGUACGGUAGAGGGGGAUGGAAUUCCGCGUGUAGCAGUGAAAUGCGUAGAUAUGCGGAGGAACACCGAUGGCGAAGGCAAUCCCCUGGACCUGUACUGACGCUCAUGCACGAAAGCGUGGGGAGCAAACAGGAUUAGAUACCCUGGUAGUCCACGCCCUAAACGAUGUCAACUGGUUGUUGGGUGNAUAGUACUCAGUAACGAAGACUACGCGUGAGUAGACCGCCGUGGGAGGUACGGCCGCGAGGUAGGAACGUACGAAGAAAGUAGUACGGCGUGAGACGUGACCGACGGACGACGACGAGGGAGGAGG
rnacentral:rRNA from 1 species